ensembl:lncRNA
AUACCGCUACCCAUCAUAGAGGUGCCCUUCGAGCGGAUUUGGAUGGAUCUGAUGGGGCCGCUGCCAAAGUCCGCCCGGGGGCACGGACACAUCCUGGUCAUCGUGGACUAUGCCACCCGGUACCCUGAGGCUAUCCCCCUUCGGAAGGCAACCACCAAGGCCAUCGCCCAGGAGCUCUUCAUCCUCUUCAGCCGGGUUAGCAUCCCGUCGCAGAUACUGACUGACCAGGGUACCCCCUUCAUGUCCCGGAUGAUGGCAGAUGUGUGCAAGUUACUGAAGGUACAACAGCUCCGCACCACGGUGUACCACCCCCAGACCGACGGGCUCUCGUCGAGCAGAAGUCGGAGCUGCAGCACCUGGUCAGUCAGUUUCCGGAUGUGUUCUCCCCCCAACACGCCAUCGAGGAGGAGGUACAGGAGAUGUUGAGGUUAGGGGUAAUAGAACCAUCGCGCAGCCCGUGGUCCAGCCCCAUCGUCAUGGUCCCGAAGCCCGACGGUACCCUCCGCUUUUUUAAUGACUUAUGCGCCUGAACGAGAUCUCCGAGUUUGACGGUUACCCAAUGCCCCGUGUAGACGAGCUGCUGGACCGAUUGGGAAGGGCCCGGUUCAUAUCCACGCUCGAUCUCACCAAGGGCUACUGGCAGGUCCCCCUAACGGAGCAGGUGAAACCCAAGACGGCCUUCUCCACCCCAAGCGGCCACUGGCAAUACCGGGUCCUUCCCUUUGGCCUACACGAGGCCCCAGUCACCUUCCAGCGGCUCAUGGACGUCCUCCUCCGACCGCACCAGGACUAUGCGGCGGCCUACCUCGACGACGUCGUGAUCCACUCGGAGACCUGGCAGGACCAUCUGGAGCGGCUGCGGAGGGUGCUCACGGAGCUGCGCCGGGCUGGCCUCACCGCCAACCCCCGGAAGUGUCAUCUGGCCCUUGCCGAAGCCAAAUACUUGGGGUAUCAGGUGGGUCGCGACCUGAUCCGACCGCAAGAGAAGAAGGUGGCAGCUAUCCUCUCUGCGCCGCGGCCCACCUCUAAAAGACAGACAGCAGCGUGUGACCGCCAGCCCCACCGCCACGGGAAAGCACGGACCCACACUGCACUAGCAGCAUCUCACAGACAAGACGCCGAGCACCGAAUGCCCAAACCACCUCACCGCACCGCCUUUUCAGUUAAUAAAAACCACCCUUCGGGGAACUUACCCUCAUCCUCGUGUCGUGUCCUACUUCACCCCGCCACAAUAUAUAUACACACACACACACACACACACAUUGCAUUCUGUUUUUAUUCACAAUUUGUAUAGUGUCCCAACUUUUUUGGAAUCGGGUUUGUAUAUAUAUAUAUAUAUAUAUAUAUAUAUAUAUAUAUAUAUAUAUAUAUAUAUAUACUGUAUAUACAUGUAUAGGUAAUCAAUUUUGUUAACUUUCAUUAUAGAUUGCCUCAAUACAUACAUACUGUACUAUUCAAAAGACUGGG